rnacentral:lncRNA from 10 species
UGCUUUUAAAUACAGGCAAGCUCUGUGCAUGUAUGUGCUUUUUGGUGGGCAGGUUUAUGCAAACCUACCCCCAAGAGUCAGAGGAAACUGAGAGGCCCAAGAAAGAGACUGAAAGAUGCAGUUGCUCAGAAAGAAACAUUGAAGAGGGACUUAUGAACAGAAGCCAUGUCUGAGUCUCAGGCGGUGGUGAGACAAGAUGAGACGGUGGCUCUCCGUACCAUAUUAUCCCACAUAUUCAGGGCAGGAGUGACUCAGAAGGGAUGUAUAAGACAAUUGAAAUAUGGUAGCAUCAAGGUUGUUUUGACCUAAGGGCAGGAUUUAUGGCUAGUGAGGGAAGUCUUUCCUGCCAGGAGAUGUUCAUUGAAGUGCAGACUGCUCGGAGCCACACCGCAGGCUGGCAGAGGAAGUGUCUCGGUGUUGCCUUGGCCCGUUCACCCCCUGCCAGGCCAGUAGAGGAGCUGAAGAGUCUUCGCCAUGGUUUGAGAAAAAGGUCUGGAGCCCCAUGCUGUUCUCAGAUCACCAGGACACCUGGAGAUGGCAGAGUCUCAGCAUUCUAACCACAGCACAGCCCCCACCGAAUGAGGGGCCUGGUCUACAGAGCUCCUCAAACUCCACUUUCUCCGUCUCCCUGUUGCCUUCCCUCUCCCAUGUCCCCAGUGUCACACAGUUGGCAAGUGCCAGACCCAUGCCUGAGACUAGCCUGGCAACCCCAAUCUGUUUCAGCACAAGAAAGCAGGCAAGGUGUGGGGAACAAAUGUGCCAUUUGGAGGUGCCUAUGGUUUUCAACCCAUGAAAGAAAAGGCAGACAUCACUUUGUAAAAGCAAUGAGGAAGACAGAUCUAAAUGUCCUUGGGAAAAAGCCUUUCUAAAAAGCAACCAAAGACUCUAUACUGACAAUACACAUUUCCAAGGCGAUCCUAAGAAAUCCAUUUGUGUAAUCAGCUGAUAAUUUCUUUCUUUCUCCAAAGUGGCUCUGAGCUCAAUUCAGACUGAAAAACUCAAUAGAGAGUCCUAGAGCCUGUAAUCAAUGCUUUUUGCUGGGGGACCCUGGGCACUCUUUCUGUCAUUCAGAAGCAUUCAUUUAACCUUGAUAUCAUGGGAGGUGGGGUGACAGGAAGGGCUUCUCUCUACUUUCUCCCUGCUUGGUAGCAAAUCUGUGUGAAGACACAUUUCAUUUCAUAUCAGCUGGCCUGUCCUAACAGGCCCCGCAUAGGCAGGGACGGAAGUGUCACAGCUUGGCAGCCCUUCUCAGAGCGUGGACUCGCCUCUAAUCAAGCUCUCCAUUGCAUUUAAAAGAAUGAGAAGCUCAUCCUUCCUGUCAAUAAUGUGUGGCUGUGGUCUGGAAUCUUACUGGCCUUAGGUCUUCGUGGGCAUUCUGAUCUGUGUCUGAGAGUUGCCCUGGAGUGCCACCGAAUGAGAUUGUCAGCUGGUUUGGGCACUGGGGUGUGGAAUGAUGUAUAUAGUGACAUCUUGUAAUUUGAUUUUGCUUUCAAAAGGUAAAAGAAACCUAUCAUUUAUUGGGAGCCUCUGUAUGUCACUUUCCAUAUAGCAUCAUGUUGAGCCCUCUAACAAUCCUGGGAAGGAGGAGAGUGUGUCUCCAUUUUUUUACAUAGACUUUUAAAUUGAGAGCAAUUUUAGGUUUGUAGAAAAAUUGCAAAGAUAGUACAGAGAGUUGCCAUCUACCCCAUAGCCAGAUGGCCCUCUAGUUAACAUCUUACAUGAGUAUGGUAUAUUUGUACAAAGAAUAAAUCAAUAUUGACAUAAUAUUAUUGACCAAAGUCCACACUGUAUUCAAAACUUCUUUAGUUUUUAGCCUAAUAGUCUUAUUUUCCGUUCCAGGAUCCUAUUCAGGAUCCCACAUUCCAUUUGGCUGACAUGUCUCUUUAGGUGCCUCUCAGCUAUGAUGGUUUCUUGUACUUUCCU